UUCAUAAUAAACAUAAGGUAUUUAUUAAAAUGAUUAUCGUUUAAAUGUAAAUUUGAAAAGUAAUAUCAAGGUAAAGUUAGAAUUUCCUCUAAAUUUUUAAUCUAGUGUAUAUAUGAAAACAUGCAUGCCACCUCUUUCAAAAUUGAUUUAUAUGUUACUACUAUAUCAUACAUUGGUUAUUUAAUUUUUAAAUAUCCAUCAUAUCUAUAUUAUUAUAUGCAAAGUGAUUUUUCAAAUUUCAGCUCUAAUAUUAAAAGUUAAAGUGAUUAAUAUUGUUUAUAAAUAGUUAUGGAAAACAUAUUAGGUCAAUUAGUUAAUGAAACAUGUGAAAGUACUUAAUUCACAUAAAAGAAGAAAAAAUAUGCAUCAAUAUUAAAUACAAAAAAAAAAAAAACAAAUAGGGCCAUGAUAUUCAUCUCUAUUCACGGGAAUAUCGAUGAUAAAAUAACCACAAGCUCUCCACGCGCAUUAACCUAUGUAUCAAUCGUGUCCAUACACGUGUCAACGAUCCACAGCCUCAUCAUCAUCACCCCCUCCAUCGGUCUUCUUCUUCAUCAUCCUUGUCCACUUUUCUGGCGAAAGCAUCUCAACGGUCAAAAAUGCUUCUCAAGACGGUUUCUUCGUCUUCCGCUGCUCGUGAGUUUCCAUGGCGGAAUCAAGGACGUUUCUCCUCUGCUAUCCUCCGCGAACCAUACACCACCGGAGCUUCUUCCACUUCAGUCUCCGAUCAAUCACCCAGGAGUUGUAUGUGAACAUUGGGUACCGGAAACAUGGUCAUGCUUUUGAGUUGAGCCUUUGUUGUAUUCAUGUAGAUAUUUGUUACUUAGUUUUGUUUUUUUUUUCAGGCCUUCAAGAUCCCGAUUCUGUGUUGGGUUCACUCACACGUGAGAUCAAAGAAGUUGGGCCUGAUGGGCAGGAGGUGACUAAAGUUGUACCUGCUGUUACGGAAGAAGACCAAGGGAUUGAAAUUCUAACGGAAGCCAUAGCAGCUUGCACCGAGACAAUUGAUCAACACAAGGGCAAGCUCGUCGUUAAGGAGGCACCUAGGGCUGUGAGUGAACGAUGCUGACAGAACACAUGGCUAAGCUAAGAAUGGACAAUGAAGAAAUCAGCGGCAAUGAAGAAGAAGAGGAGGACACAGGGAUGGGUGAAGUUGACAUUGAAGGUGCCGGAAUCGUUGAGUAGGAUUCUUAGCUGGUUUCAUAGUUUUCCGACCAACAUGAGUAUUUUUGCUAUAAAGUAGAAAUCUCCAAGAGGUUGUGUGUUUUUUUUUUCUUUUGUUGUUUUUCACCCGUUGAGGGGUUUAUAUACUCGUAUGUAUGGUUUUAUAAAGUUUUGACUAUUACUGCAUCAUGAGUUUAAACCUGAUUGGAUUUGACUA